AGUCAUGCGUCCUUGUCUUCCGGUCACGCCAUAUGUGGCGAAUCGAGCUCGACAAACACCCUGCGCAUUUUGGACGUGACGUCACUCCCCCGAAACGUUUUAAAACCAGAUUACGUCAUCACGGCUGUUGUCACCCAAGAACGUUUGCGUGAUCCCACAGGUAUGAAUGGAUCAGAUGAAGGAACUCUUGAUCAGGAAGAUGCAGCUGAGGAGCAGCUUUACAAAGCACAAAGGAUUCAUGUCGAUGCCCUGCUUGACAUGAGUGAGGAGGCCUUUUUAGAAGAUCUGGAGCCACAUGAGUAUCAUUGCUACUGUGGUUGGGAAGAGGCUGUGCGGGGCUGGGACAGAGUUGCUCCUGUCAGUGGCAUUCUUCUUCCUCAAAAGAGAGACAAGAAACCAAAGCCGCAUAAGGAGUUGACAGACAAGCCACCCUCCUCACAUGCAGAUCCAAUGUUUUAUGGAGACACCUUGGCCAUCAGUGGAGAGCACUGUAGCGAGUCACAAUCAAGCCCCCAUAACUUGAAGAAAUUCACCCCAUCAAGCCAGAAGGCCAUACUAGAGCCAGAAUCCCCAGAAUGGCAUCCACUGGAUGGCGUGGAAGAAGACUUGUCACACCUGCUACAUGAAGAGAGAGGGCAUUCCAGUGGGAUUCCUUUGCACCUGCAACAAUUACCCCCAAACAUUUCAAAGGGCAGGCCAUCCAAACCCACAAAACGCCAGACUAAAAGCAAAGUUGUUCCCAUUACAAACUUCACUUUUUUACCUCCAAUAAAAUGAUGUGACAACCAAAGGUCAGCUCUAUACGCCAUGAAUAACCCAGUAACAUCACAACUGUUGCAAGUUUUUAUAAGAAAUGUGGACUUCCAAAGCCAACCAAAGAUGUCAGGAACAUUGCUUUUUUUUUUUUUU